rnacentral:rRNA from 1 species
GACGAACGCUGGCGGCGUGCUUAACACAUGCAAGUCGAACGGAAAGGCCCUGCUUUUGUGGGGUGCUCGAGUGGCGAACGGGUGAGUAACACGUGAGUAACCUGCCCUUGACUUUGGGAUAACGUCAGGAAACUGGGGCUAAUACCGGAUAGGCGCUCCUGCUGAAUGGUGGGGGUUGGAAAGCUUCGGCGGGUGGGGAUGGACUCGCGGCUUAUCAGCUUGGUGGUGGGGUAGUGGCAUACCACGGCUUUGACGGGUAGCCGGCCUGAGAGGGUGACCGGCCACAUUGCGCCUGAGAUACGCACCAGACUGCUACGGGAGGCAGCAGUGGGGAAUAUUGCACAGUGGGCGGAAGCCUGAUGCAGAAACGCCGCGGGCGGGAUGUCGGCCUUCGGGUUGUAAACCGCUUUCGCCUGUGACGAAGCGUGAGUGACGGUAAUGGAUAAAGAGGCACCGGCUAACUACGUG